rnacentral:rRNA from 1 species
AUUGAACGCUGGCGGCAGGCUUAACACAUGCAAGUCGAGCGGAGUGAUGGUGCUUGCACUAUCACUUAGCGGCGGACGGGUGAGUAAUGCUUUGGAAUCUGCCUAUUAGUGGGGGACAACACCUCGAAAGGGAUGCUAAUACCGCAUACGUCCUACGGGAGAAAGCAGGGGAUCACUUGUGACCUUGCGCUAAUAGAUGAGCCUAAGUCGGAUUAGCUAGUUGGUGGGGUAAAGGCCUACCAAGGCGACGAUCUGUAGCGGGUCUGAGAGGAUGAUCCGCCACACUGGGACUGAGACACGGCCCAGACUCCUACGGGAGGCAGCAGUGGGGAAUAUUGGACAAUGGGGGGAACCCUGAUCCAGCCAUGCCGCGUGUGUGAAGAAGGCCUUAUGGUUGUAAAGCACUUUAAGCGAGGAGGAGGCUCUUUUGUUAAUACCCAAGAUGAGUGGACGUUACUCGCAGAAUAAGCACCGGCUAACUCUGUGCCAGCCGCCGCCGUAA